rnacentral:rRNA from 1 species
UACGUAGGGUGCGAGCGUUAAUCGGAAUUACUGGGCGUAAAGGGUGCGCAGGCGGUUAUAUAAGACAGAUGUGAAAUCCCCGGGCUCAACCUGGGAACUGCGUUUGUGACUGUAUGACUAGAGUCCGGAAGAGGAGAGUGGAAUUCCUGGUGUAGCGGUGAAAUGCGCAGAUAUCAGGAAGAACACCCGUGGCUAAGGCGGCUCUCUAGUACGGUACUGACGCUGAGACGCGAAAGCGUGGGGAGCGAACAGG